UACAGAGGUCUCAAGCGUUGUUCGGAUUCAUUGGGCGUAAAGGGUGCGUAGGUGGUGAUGCAAGUCUGGUGUGAAAUCUCGGAGCUCAACUCCGAAAUUGCACCGGAUACUGCGUGACUCGAGGACUGUAGAGGAGAUCGGAAUUCACGGUGUAGCAGUGAAAUGCGUAGAUAUCGAGAGGAACACCAGAGGUGAAGACGGGUUGCUGGGCUGACACUGACGCUGAGGCGCGAAAGCCAGGGGAGCAAACGGG
rnacentral:rRNA from 1 species